AAAGCGUGCGCAGGCGGUUAUGUAAGACAGAUGUGAAAUCCCCGGGCUCAACCUGGGAACUGCAUUUGUGACUGUAUAGCUGGAGUGCGGCAGAGGGGGAUGGAAUUCCGCGUGUAGCAGUGAAAUGCGUAGAUAUGCGGAGGAACACCGAUGGCGAAGGCAAUCCCCUGGGCCUGCACUGACGCUCAUGCACGAAAGCGUGGGGAGCAAACAGGAUUAGAUACCCCAGU
rnacentral:rRNA from 1 species